UCAGUGGGGAGGAGGAGGAGGUGAAUCCCACCCAGCAGACCUCACUGCAUGAGCAGCGUGUCACCCUCUCCAGUGGCCAGGACCUCUCUGAGUCCCGCUGCCCUUCCCGCUGCCCUGCUGCCCGAUGCAGGAGAUGACUGCGCCUGCCCGGGUCCAGCUGGGUGUGUCGGAAUACCAGAGGAAAUACACCUGUCAUGGCCACAUGUGGAGUUGUCCUUGAUAUCAAGAGAGACGGGACACAUAGCUGGAGAAAUCCAGAAAAAACCCGUGCAAGUGUCCUGUGACCUUGAGACCGAAAUAUAACUUUUCCCAAGAACUAUGAAGAGGAGGAAGACGAAGAAGAUCUAGAAUCACUGGCCUCCAGUGGGCCCAGUGAGCUGCAGGAGGAUGCAGGGACUGCAGGGCUGUCACAGGCACUGACGGAGUAGGGUUUCCCUCCUGGUGGUGCUGACCUGUCUGACUGCUGAGAGCUGAUCAGAAGCGCCACCUCCCUGUCUGCCGAGCCUGAGGCCGAGUCUGUUCUGGAUGGAGCGGCCCCCACGCAGGAGGCCUGUCCCCAAGGGCCUUGGAGUGGAGACUUGAGCCCCUGCGUGUCACAGGUGCAAGCUGCAAACACACAGCUGCAGCCAAGCGCCCUGGUGACUGACUGUCUGCAGCUCCAGCUGGACCAGCAGUGGGGUCGUGGCUGUGGCUUUGCCACAUGGAGCCUCCCCUGCGACCCCUGGAUCCUCGCAGCCAGCGCUGACUCUGGGCACCAGUGGCUGCUCCUCCCAGUUCUUGGAUUCCCAGGAGCCCAGCCAAGACUCCCCGCACUGGCCCAGACGGUCUCUCCCCUGCUCGCUGGCCCGAGUGCCCUGAAACCGAGGAUGAGCGAGAGAAAGUUGCUGUUCAGCAAGUGGAGAGUCACGUGCAGUUUCUCAGGCCUGCAGCUGUGGGUGCAGAGGUAACCCCACCUGCGGUCUCACACACACACACUCCUGCUGCUCUCUGUGCAAGCGGACAGCUCCUCUCCCGCUGCUCUUUCUCUGCCACGUGUGUUCCCUCCAACAGCCGCUGUAACCUCCGUCUGGUCUCGAUGGUCAAGUUGAUCAUUGACUUUGCAAGGCCAGCCAGGUCCCUGGAAUGCGCCUGCCAGGACUCAAGAGUUUUCCUUCUUUUCCAUCCUUGGCGACCUGUAGCUCCCUAGGAGCAGCCUCUGCUGUGACUCCCUCCAACCUCUGAAUGAGAACAGUUAAAAGUGAGCACAUUUAUUGCUCAUGGCAAAAAGUAACUUAGAACCUGGUCCCAGGCAGGAGACCUGCAGUGGCCUUGUCAGCUUUGUGUUCAGCCCCAGAGGUGCAGGGCUGUGUGACGAGGGUGGCGUUUGCAGGGACUCAGUGUCCAGGCACUGUGGACUCAUUUGAGCUGACAUUAGCUGAAGGACACUGAAGGGACCCUAAAGUGACGUCAGUGCAGAAGUAGUUGCACAGGGCGGGACAUCAAUCCUCAUAGACCAUGGGGUCCUUAGACAUCUGCUCUCUGUCCAUUUCCUUCCCGUUUCUACCUCCACAAGUCCAGGCAAGCGUCCCUGCUCUCUCUGUGCAAUUCCAUUUGGAAUCUCUCCUUCUUCCUUUCUUUGCCGACCCUCUCUAGGAAAAUACUUUUGCUGUUUCUAAAUCCUGAUCCCUGUCCCACCCAGCGUGACCCACAGCCUGCAGUGGCUUGUUCAUUUCUCCAUUGGACCCUUUCUCUCCUCCUUCCAAACAGUGUGGAAAGGGCCUCAGGCCGGGGUUCUAGUUCCGGGGUUGUCAGCAACAGGUCACGUGGCUUUAGUGGAGUCUCAGCCCUUCGGCACCACGCUCUCCUCGUCAGUCCAAGGGGGACGGGACGUGGAGGAGUCCGAGGUCCCUGCUGGCUCUCACAGCCGGGCUCUUCCCACAGCCGCCCCCCCCUCCCUGAAA